UAAUAUUUGCCUUCUUGAUUUUUGUCUCUUUUUUCUUGAUUUACUAUUUAUAAAUGCAUAAAGUGCUAAAACAUACAUAGUUACUAAUUUCUUGAUAACUCAAGCAUCAAUAACUUUGUAAGCUUUCAGAUACCACUAUUCUAACUAUGAUAAAAAUACAAAUUACUACUAGAAGUAGGCCAUACCUCAAUUUAUCAAAUUUCUGCUUAAAAUCCAAAUUAUUAAAAUCAAUAGCAAUCUAGAACAUUGAUACAUUGUGAAAGCAGAGGCUGGGGUAUAGCUCAUUGAAAGAGAGUUUGCCUAGCAUGUACAAGGUCCUGCAGUACCUCAAAAUCUGCAGUACCUCAAAAAAAAGAAGAAAAAAUUUAAAAAAAUAAUUUGUCAUAUUGCUAGUUGCUCCACAUCCUAGAAAAUGCUAACACCUCAUUUGGAGAAUUCCUGAGCCCAUAAUCCUCCUUGCUCAAGGUUAAACAGAAAAUUCACCAGUCUUCUUUGUAUCUGGUAAGCGGACAGGUGAGUCUACACAUAACAGACUCAUCUGUGAGGGUUUUUCAAAUUCUUAAGUUACUGACAAGGAAACUAAGCACCAGGCUUCAUCCCUAUGCUUGGUAAUGGGACAGCAGAAGAAAUCUGAACUGACCAGAGUCAGAAUCAGCCAAGCUCAUACCAAGUAGAUGUGUUCCUCUUGGAGUGGUGCUGGCUGCUGUCUCCUCCCAACAUGACUGCUGAGUAGUAGGAAAGCAGAGGUGGUCAUGCCUGUUUUCUGAAAGUUUAACCUUGAAACUCUUCUCUAGAAAGUUCAACAAUGCUAUGAGUCACUCAAAUAUUCUCUAGUAAAUUCCUUUUCUGUGUAAUAAAAUAAAACUGGGGUUUUUUCCUUAUUUCAAAUGACAACCUGAUUGAUACAAUAUUCUGUACCAUCCUUGAUCAUAUCAAUAAUAAUCAUUUAUGAAGGCAUAUUGUCAAUACAGGAACAAUAUUUAAUUCAAAAUAGAACUGAUUGACAAAUACUAGUGAAGUAACUGAGGUGUCAAAAGUUUUAAAGGUAAAAGGAUACCCAUGCAAGUUAGGAUUGACAUGACUCAAUAAAAGAUUCCCUCAUAAAAUUAUGAACUUAGACACAAAUAACACUAACAUACUUGAAUUUUUAGGUGAAUGAAAAAUCUAUGGGAUAACAGCCAUUGGGGACUGCUGCAGACUUACUAAACAUAAUUCGGAUGUGAAGUUAGUAUUCCUUGGAAUUCUUCAACCAUGAAUCAGAUUAUGUGUGAAGAAGUUUGAGUGUCCUCAGUUCUAAUGAAGAUUGCACAAAUUAUACAAUAAAAUACAAAGAUGUUGUAUUGUUCUUUACAGAGAGGGCUUAAAUUAUAAAAUCAGACACAUCUAAGAAAGCUAAACUGCAUUCAUUUUUUUCUCCCACAAAUAUUUAUUAAGUGACUGUUAUAAUACAAUGCAACAUCCUAGGAUUUGUCUUGACACUAUAAUUUUUGACUAAUCUUCUUUUAGUUUUUUUUUUUAAUUUUCUUUUUUCCACCCCCACCUGCUACAUACAAUGGAAGUAUGUUAAAGUCCUGUGACAUCCCAUUCUGUGUUCUCUGCAAUGUCCAUGGCAAUGAUGUAUUUGGUAGAGUAUGUUCCAAUCCGGUUCACUGAAGUCUAAAGUAUUCUUGUGUGCUCAGGAACUUUUCCAGUGUAGCUACAGUAUCCCACACAUCUGCUCAUAUGUCCUCUCUUCUUCUCUCCUGCUUGCCACACAUGACCCACCAGAAGAAAUAGAAACCACGAUCUCAAGUGAAAGCAGUGGUAGAACACCUAACUUUAUAAAUAGGAUCUCAUUGGCAGCCUAGACUCCUCUUUUCAAAAUACUCUACUUAACAGUCCAGCUAAACAUUAGAGGCAACUGUAAACAGAAAUGUAAUAUUAUAAAGGGAAUCCACAAGGUGGUCACCGGCCCCUUCCAAGGACGCUUCCUUCAUGACCCAGCUCCCUUCCACUGGUAUCAUCUCUUAGAACUUCCCUGCCUCAGCACGACCACACUGAGGAACAGGGCUCCAGCACCGGAACCUUGGAGAACACACUCAAAACAUGCAGAGCGUGGUGGGGGGGUACAUGAAAGUCUCAUUCUGAGUUUCCAUAAAUUCGCUAUCUUAUUACUAAAUCCUUGCUGCUCUUUAAAGGCAAAGAGAAGUACACAAUGAAGUAAAGGAAUUAGUACUUAUAAAAUGCAACUGUGUUAGAGUCUUACAAGGUUAUAAAGAUUACUUCACCAAACAUUGAGUUGUUUUUGUCAUUUUGGGAACCAUCAUUAUAAGUUAGGGUAUAAAGUUGAAACGCUAAAAAUUAGGAAAUAAAUUACUUAAAAUCUUAAACACACCCAUCACUCAGAAAUAACCACUGUUAAUAUCUGGAGUAUAACCUUCCAGAUUAGGAAUACCUAACAAUAUAUCUACCCAUUCAUUUAUUCCUUUGUACCUCCUCCAUGUAUCCAUCAUAAACCCAAUAUUUCCCUACAAUUGCCAAUU
rnacentral:lncRNA from 1 species